rnacentral:rRNA from 1 species
CCUCUUUCAGCAGGGACGAAGCGCAAGUGACGGUACCUGCAGAAGAAGCACCGGCCAACUACGUGCCAGCAGCCGCGGUAAUACGUAGGGUGCAAGCGUUGUCCGGAAUUAUUGGGCGUAAAGAGCUCGUAGGCGGUUCGUCGCGUCGGCUGUGAAAACCCGGAGCUCAACUCCGGGCCUGCAGUCGAUACGGGCGGACUUGAGUGUUGCAGGGGAGACUGGAAUUCCUGGUGUAGCGGUGAAAUGCGCAGAUAUCAGGAGGAACACCGGUGGCGAAGGCGGGUCUCUGGGCAACUACUGACGCUGAGGAGCGAAAGCGUGGGGAGCGAACAGGAUUAGAUACCCUGGUAGUCCACGCCGUAAACGUUGGGCGCUAGGUGUGGGGGCCAUUCCACGGUCUCCGUGCCGCAGCUAACGCAUUAAGCGCCCCGCCUGGGGAGUACGGCCGCAAGGCUAAAACUCAAAGGAAUUGACGGGGGCCCGCACAAGCGGCGGAGCAUGUUGCUUAAUUCGAUGCAACGCGAAGAACCUUACCUACCCUUGACAUGUCUGGAAUCCCGAAGAGAUUCGGGAGUGCUCGAAAGAGAACCGGAACACAGGUGCUGCAUGGCUGUCGUCAG